UUGACGGGACCGCACAAGCGGUGGAUGAUGUGGUUUAAUUCGAUGCAACGCGAAAACCUUACCCACCUUUGACAUGGCAGGAAGUUUCCAGAGAUGGAUUCGUGCUCGAAAGAGAACCUGCACACAGGUGCUGCAUGGCUGUCGUCAGCUCGUGUCGUGAGAUGUUGGGUUAAGUCCCGCAACGAGCGCAACCCUUGCCAUCAGUUGCUACGAAGGGGCACUCUGAUGGGACUGCCGGUGACAAACCGGAGGAAGGUGGGGAUGACGUCAAGUCCUCAUGGCCCUUAUAGGUGGGGCUACACACGUCAUACAAUGGCCGGUACAAAGGGCAGCAAACCCGCGAGGGGGAGCCAAUCCAUCAAAGCCGGUCGUAGUCCGGAUCGCAGUCUGCAACUCGACUGCGUGAAGUCGGAAUCGCUAGUAAUCGUGGAUCAGCAUGUCACGGUGAGUACGUUCCCGGGUCUU
rnacentral:rRNA from 1 species